UACGAAGGUCCCAAGCGUUAUCCGGAUUUAUUGGGUUUAAAGGGUGCGUAGGCGGCUUAUUAGGUCAGUGGUGAAAGCCCCAAGCUUAACUUUGGAACUGCCAUUGAUACUGAUGAGCUUGAGUAGAUUUGAGGCGGGCGGAAUGUGUCGUGUAGCGGUGAAAUGCUUAGAUAUGACACAGAACACCAAUUGCGUAGGCAGCUCGCUAAACUCUUACUGACGCUGAGGCACGAAAGCGUGGGGAGCGAACAGG
rnacentral:rRNA from 1 species